AGGGUUUGAUCAUGGCUCAGGAUGAACGCUGGCGGCGUGCUUAACACAUGCAAGUCGAACGAACCUUCGGGUUAGUGGCGGACGGGUGAGUAACGCGUGAGAAUCUGCCCUCAGGAGGGGGAUAACGGUUGGAAACGACCGCUAAUACCCCAUAUGCCUAUUGGUGAAACGAAUUUCGCCUGAGGAUGAGCUCGCGUCUGAUUAGCUAGUUGGUGAGGUAAUUGCUCACCAAGGCUUCGAUCAGUAGCUGGUCUGAGAGGAUGAUCAGCCACACUGGGACUGAGACACGGCCCAGACUCCUACGGGAGGCAGCAGUGGGGAAUUUUCCGCAAUGGGCGAAAGCCUGACGGAGCAACGCCGCGUGAGGGACGAAGGCCUCUGGGCUGUAAACCUCUUUUCUCAAGGAAGAAGAUAUGACGGUACUUGAGGAAUAAGCCACGGCUAAUUCCGUGCCAGCAGCCGCGGUAAUACGGGAGUGGCAAGCGUUAUCCGGAAUUAUUGGGCGUAAAGCGUCCGCAGGCGGCUUUUCAAGUCUGCUGUUAAAGCGUGGAGCUUAACUCCAUCAUGGCAGUGGAAACUGAAAGGCUUGAGUAUGGUAGGGGCAGAGGGAAUUCCCGGUGUAGCGGUGAAAUGCGUAGAUAUCGGGAAGAACACCAGUGGCGAAGGCGCUCUGCUGGGCCAUUACUGACGCUCAUGGACGAAAGCCAGGGGAGCGAAAGGGAUUAGAUACCCCUGUAGUCCUGGCCGUAAACGAUGAACACUAGGUGUCGGGGGAAUCGACCCCUUCGGUGUCGUAGCUAACGCGUUAAGUGUUCCGCCUGGGGAGUACGCACGCAAGUGUGAAACUCAAGGAAUUGACGGGGGCCCGCACAAGCGGUGGAGUAUGUGGUUUAAUUCGAUGCAACGCGAGACCUUACCAGGGUUUGACAUCCUGCGAACCUCUUAGAAAUUUGAGGGUGCCUUCGGGAAUGCAGUGACAGGUGGUGCAUGGCUGUCGUCAGCUCGUGUCGUGAGAUGUUGGGUUAAGUCCCGCAACGAGCGCAACCCACGUUUUUAGUUGCCAGCAUUUAGUUGGGCACUCUAGAAAGACCGCCGGUGAUAAACCGGAGGAAGGUGUGGAUGACGUCAAGUCAUCAUGCCCCUUACACCCUGGGCUACACACGUACUACAAUGCUACGGACAAAGGGCAGCAAACUCGCGAGAGCUAGCAAAUCCCAUAAACCGUGGCUCAGUUCAGAUCGUAGGCUGCAACUCGCCUACGUGAAGUAGGAAUCGCUAGUAAUCGCAGGUCAGCAUACUGCGGUGAAUACGUUCCCGGGCCUUGUACACACCGCCCGUCACACCAUGGAAGUUGGCCAUGCCCGAAGUCGUUACUCCAACCCUUGUGGAGGAGGACGCCGAAGGUGGGGCUAAUGACUGGGGUGAAGUCAUAACAAGGUAACCGUA
rnacentral:rRNA from 1 species